GUACUAUAUAGGCCCAAGUUGUGAAUGCGAUGUGUGUGUGUGUGCGCGCGCGCGUGCGUACAUGAGCGUGUGUGUGUGUUCCAGAUUAUCCUCUGCUGCAGUGUCUGCUACCGGUAUGCAGGAUGUCAACCGAAGAAAACCAAACGGAAGCGGAACGCCAGGUGCUGAGGCACGCGACCAUAUUUGCCAGCAACAAUUGUCAUGGCAACAGCGUCUGUAUUGACCCGCGGAGGCGUCCCUUGUGGUCCCCCGGCCCCGAGAUUCCUUCACAGCCCUUUGAUGUGCCGGCUGAUUAUUAUUCGAAACUACCAACAGAUGUGAUUAAUUAUUUAGAUUAGGUUCAACCACCGCCUGGAACAAGCGUCGCUUUAUGACAAUUUAUUAUGUUAAAAAUUAGUCGAAGGCUGAACUUUGUUAAACACUCAUUGAACACCACUACAUCAGUAAAAUUAUUUGAAUAAUCGAUUAUUCAGCUUUUCUUUGAAGGAAUUAUUUUGUAUUGCUGGUUUUACAUUAUACUGGAACGCUCUUCCAUGGGAAUUACAGCACAUGUGACUCGGGACAAAACAAUGGCAUUAGGAUGCAUUAAUACAUUUGAUAGUCAAAACUCUUUUUUCAGAAAUGCUUCAAGUUCGAAAACAAUUAUAAGCUCAGGCGGGUAACCUGUACCUAAAAAAGAAACCCACACGUCGGUGGAAAGUGAAGCAUUUCUUUUAUUCAACUAUUUUAUUUAUUCAAUUUAUUUACUGAGGUGCAAUAUCAUCAUUACAGGUGUAUUUAUAUAAAAAAAAACACCAUAAAAAGAUUGGUCAACUAAAAUGUCGUUGCAUGCAUAAACUUAUG